CCAAUAGCGUAUAUUAAAGUUGUUGCAGUUAAAAAGCUCGUAGUUGAAUUUCGGGAUCAAUAUGUUGGUCGUGCCAUUGGUACGUACUGGUAUCAUUGAUUUCUCCUUUCUGACGAACCAUGAUGUCAUUAAUUUGGUGUUAUGGGGAGUUAGGACUGUUACUUUGAAAAAAUUAGAGUGUUUAAAGCAGGCAUUAGCUUGAAUACAUUAGCAUGGAAUAAUGAAAUAGGACGUUUGACCCUAUUUUGUUGGUUUCUAGGAUCGACGUAAUGAUUAAUAAGGAUAGUUGGGGGCAUUAGUAUUCAAUUGGCAGAGAUGAAAUUCUUGGAUUUAUUGAAGACUAACUACUGCGAAAGCAUUUGCCAAGGAUGUUUUCAUUAAUCAAGAACGAAAGUUAGGGGAUCGAAGACGAUCAGAUACCGUCGUAGUCUUAACCAUAAACUAUGCCGACUAGGGAUCGGAUGAUGUUAAUUUUUUAAUGACUCAUUCGGCGCCUUACG
rnacentral:rRNA from 1 species